ACCAGGGUAGCUCAGUCAGUAGGGCAUGUGACUCUUCUUCUCCUCAGGGUUGUGGGUUCCAACCCCAUUCCGGGUA
rnacentral:tRNA from 1 species